UUAAAGCUGCCACCGGGUAGCAGAAUGCGAAGCAUUCGUUUGCACAUCGUCAGGUCUUAGAAGAUGUGCAUGCGGGUGCUUCUUUGUU
rnacentral:ncRNA from 1 species